UACGGAAGGCAGCAGUGGGGAAUAUUGCACAAUGGGUGAAAGCCUGAUGCAGCUAUGCCGCGUGUAUGAAGAAGGCCUUAGGGUUGUAAAGUACUUUCAUCGGGGAGGAAAAACAAAACUAAUAAUUUUAUUUCUUGACGUUACCCGAAAAAGAAGCACCGGCUAACUCCGUGCCAGCAGCCGCGGUAAUACGGAGGGUGCUAGCGUUAAUCAGAAUUACUGGGCGUAAAGAGCACGUAGGUGGUUUUUUUAAGUCAGAUGUGAAAUCCCUGGGCUUAACCUAGGAACUGCAUUUUGAAACUGAAAUACUAGAGUAUCGUAGAGGGAGGUAGAAUUCUAGGUGUAGCGGUGAAAUGCGUAGAUAUCUGGAGGAAUACCUGUGGCGAAAGCGGCCUCCUAAACGAAUACUGACACUGAGGUGCGAAAGCGUGGGGAGCAAACAGGGAUUAGAUACC
rnacentral:rRNA from 1 species